UCAGCCGGAGAAGGAGAGGCUCAAACAGGCAUAAAGUGCGACUCCAAGUGGCCACUGUGCGCAAAGACGCGCCGAAUCGCGGGGCCCGCAGCGGGAAGGCUAGACUGACCACUCGGACCUAGCUGGGUCUUCCCAACCGGCCCAACCCAAGGCGACCCGGAACGUAAUCUGUGUGUGCACCGGAGCCCAAGACAGUUUCUUCUUGAGCCACACACAGGUCCUCAGUUCGGUCCUCGGACUCAGCCCCGAGUUCCGCGCUGAUCUCCCCUCAUGAAACUCGCCCUCCAGCUCCGGGGGUCAGGGGUCGGAGGAGCAGGGAGGGAUGCCUGGAGGCGGCUCCUUGCACGGGAAGGUCCUAGGCCGAAUUAGAAGGAUGGCCGAAAGCGGAAACGCCACUGCGAGGGGCCCCAGGGUUGUCCGAUGAGAAACCAACCCCGAGCGCAGACGGAGACCCCUGAGCGCACCACACUGAAGCAUCCAUACAGUGCCUGAGCGCUGCGCACCUUCUCUAUCGGGUACAGGGUGGCCCGAAAUAUGAGCUCUGGAGACCCCGGCCCGGGCGCAGAAGCCGGAUAAAUCGCGAAUUCGCUGUAACCGGAGACACGACCCGCCUCCGGCGUCGCCUUCUGCUCUUCGGCUUUGCGCGAGUGCAGCGAAAGACAGGAGAAGCGCGCACUGGCACUGUGUUAGAUGACCACUGGGCAGUAUGGCUUCCAAGUUGCUCCGUGAUGUCUGACUCUUUGCAGCUCCUUGGACUGUAGCCCACCAGGCUCCUCUGUCCAUGGGAUUUUUCAGGCAAGAAUAUCGGAGUGGGUUGCCAUUUUCUCCUCCAGGGGAUCUUCCCAACCCAGGGAUCAAACCCACGUCUCCUGUGUCUCCUGCAUUGCAGGCAGAUUUUUUUACCCACUGAGCCAUCAGGGAAGCCCCACUAGCUUCCAGUAUAGAUGGGAUAUUUAAUAAUAAUAUCCACACCCAUGUGUACAGAGAUUCUGAAAGCCUUUAUCCUUCACUUUUUCCUUCAGUCCUCACAUCUCUAUAAUGUAGGGACUAUGAUUAUCCUUGUUUUACAGAGAUAGGUAGGCAGGUAGGUAAAUACAGAUGUAUAGC
rnacentral:lncRNA from 1 species